UACGAAGGUCCCGAGCGUUAUCCGGAUUUAUUGGGUUUAAAGGGUGCGUAGGCGGGUUAUUAAGUCAGUGGUGAAAGCCUUCAGCUCAACUGAAGAACUGCCAUUGAUACUGAUGAUCUUGAGUACGAUUGAGGUAGGCGGAAUGUGUCAUGUAGCGGUGAAAUGCUUAGAUAUGACACAGAACACCGAUGGCGAAGGCAAUCCCCUGGACCUGUACUGACGCUCAUGCACGAAAGCGUGGGGAGCAAACAGG
rnacentral:rRNA from 1 species